rnacentral:ncRNA from 1 species
AAAUUUAAGCGUGGUUUUUUUAAAAAAAGUUUUUAAUAGUCUUUAUAUAUUUAAUUAUAUAAAAUAUUAUAUAAUAGAAGAAAUUUUUUUUAUAUUUUAAAGAAUGUAAAAAAAGUUAUUAAUUUUAAAUUUGGCAAUGCUUGUGCCAGCCGCCGCGGUUAUACAGGUAAAUUAAUUUUUUUUUCUAUAAUCAAAGAAAAAAAAUUAAAGUAAGAUAAUAAUUUUUAUAGGUGAAAUUUAAAAAAAUUUUAAUAUUAUAUUUUUAUUAUUGUUUCUUAAAAAUUUAUUAAUAAACUAGGAUUAGAUACCCUAUUAUUAUAAGCUUAAUUUUGUUAGUAUAUAUAAUUUAUGAAAACAAAAAGUUUUGGCGGUAUUUUAAGCUUUUUAGAGGAAUUUGCUCUAUAAUGGAUAAAACCCCUUAAUCUUACUUAAUCUGGUUAAAUUCAGUUUGUAUACCACUAUAUUUAAUUAUAUUGAAUAAUUAAUUAUUGCAAUUUUUUUUAAAAAGAAAAUUAAGUCAAGGUGCAACUUAAGAUUAUGAAUGAAGUGAAUUACAUUAAUUUUUAUGAAAAAAAAAUAAAUUGAAAUAUAAAAAAAUAGGAUUUAAAAGUAAAUAAAAAAUAUAAUGUUUUGUUGAAUUAAGCUCUAAAAUAUGCACAUAUCGCCCGUCGCUCUCUUUUAGGAGAUAAGUCGUAACAAAGUAAAAAUACUGGAAAGUGUUUUU